GUAGGUGAACCUGCGGAAGGAUCAUUAUUGAAAUAAACCUGAUAAGUUGCUGCUGGUUCUCUAGGGAGCAAUGUGCACACUUGUCAUCUUUGUAUCUUCACCUGUGCACCUUUUGUAGACCUGAGUAUCUCUCUGAAUUGCUUAUAGCAUUCAGGAUUGAGAAUUGACUUCUUGUCUCUUCUUAUAUUUUCAGGUCUAUGUUUCUUCAUAUACCCUAAUGUAUGUUUAUAGAAUGUAAUUAAUGGGCCUUUGUGCCUAUAAACCUUUACAACUUUCAGCAACGGAUCUCUUGGCUCUC
rnacentral:misc_RNA from 1 species